rnacentral:rRNA from 1 species
UACAGAGGGUGCGAGCGUUGUCCGGAAUCACUGGGCGUAAAGGGCGCGUAGGCGGUGACUUAAGCGUGUGGUGAAAGCUCGGGGCUCAACCCCGAGUCGGCCGUGCGAACUGGGUCACUCGAGCAGAUCAGAGGCGGGCGGAAUCCGGGUGGAGUGGUGAAAUGCGUAGAGAUCCGGAGGAACACCAAAGGCGAAGGCAGUGUCCUGGGGAGUACCUGACGCUCAGGUGCGAAAGCCAGGGGAGCGAACGGG